rnacentral:rRNA from 1 species
AUGGCCGCCGCAGCAGGCGCGGCAUCCUCCCUUGUCCCCUCCACUUCCCAGCGCCGCCUCCCCUUCCGUCCCACCCCCACCCGCCAACCCCUCCUAGCCCCCAACAAGACCCUGACGCUCUCCCCGAAGCCACCCCGCCUCCUGCACCCCCUCGCCGCGUCCUCCUCCUCUCCGCCUCCGCCCGAGGAUGCGGAGCCAACCGACCCCGUCAAGCUCGCCUUCGCCCGCGCCGCCGCCUACAAGAAGGAGAGGGCUAAUCCGACGCCCAAGCCACCGCCACCGCCACCGUCGCCUCCCCCUCCGCCGCAGCCUUCCGCGAAGGAGUCCAGCGGCAGCAAGGAGGCCUUCGAGCGGGCGCUGGAGUACAGGAACGGCAGCGGGGGAGGACUGGACGGCGGCUCCCCGCUUCUCAAUCCGUCGCCGACUUUCGGCCAAAGCACGUUUACUAGUAAAGAGGGUGCAUUUGGCAAAGUGGCAAAGAAAAAGGGAGGGUAUGCGUACGAUGAGACGGACUUUUUGGGCCUCGGUUUCUUUGAGAAAAAACGUUAUCAAGGUCCACCACCAGGGCUGUCUCAAGGAAUUGAUCCUUUUUCAAAUGAAGAUUUUCCUGAGGUGGAGAUAGUAGUUGGCGACCCUAGUAAAUUUGGGAAGUCUCGUCGUUCAACUGAAAAUCAACCUGUGGAUGAUAGCGAGUCUGAGGAAACGUCACGUUCAAAAGACAGCAAACAAAAUGAAGAUAGCAAGCUUGAGGAAACACCACUUUCAACUGUUAUUGAACCUGAAGAUGAUGAAAAUUCAGAGUCCUACAAACCCAGGGUUACAACGUGGGGAAUGUUUCCACGGCCACAAAAUAUUUCAAAGGCGUAUGGUGGUGGAAGAAAUAUAAGCCUUGGUGGAGAGACUCAAAGUGCUGAAGAGAAAGCAGCUAAAGAUAAACGUACCAGAGAACUACUAGGUGCAUAUAUUGGUGGAAAAAACAAGACACUCGAUGCAAAAACAAAGGCAGAGUGCACCAAGGCAUUGAAGGAAGGUGACGAACUUAUGAAUGCUGGAAGGCUGAAACAAGCUUUGCCUUAUUAUGAAAAAGUGAUGCAGGCUGCGGACUUUAAGACCGAACUUCAUGGAAUGGCUGCUCUCCAGUGGUCCAUCUGUCUGGAUUCACUGUGCAGGUCCAAGGAAGCCAUGGGCAUGUAUAGCAAGCUGAAAUACCACCCAAACGACCGCGUCAGCAAGAAGGCAAAGAUGUUCAUGUUCAGCUUUCAGGCGGCGGACUUCCUGAAGGUCGACGGCGUGCCGGUGCCGCGCAACACGGGCUACGAGGGUUACUUCGACCAGUUUGGCGGGCAGAGGAACUACUACGCGAACCCGGACGAGCCCGAGGUGGGGAUCCGGGAGAUCAUCCCGUACAUGCUCUUUCUCGUCUCCCCGAUUUUCUUUGUCGCUUUUAUCGCUUUGAGAAAGUCUUUGAUGCUGUAA